CUGGCAGAUUAAGAAGUCCUAUUCCAAAAGUUUCUGGGAGAUGUCGACAAACAAUGGGAAAUAAAUAGAUACACUUUCCGAUAAUAAAAAUGUACUCGACAGUGUGCUUUUGAAAGAGCACAGUGAGGGACUGAAGUGGACAAUAUGUGACCGUGGUUUUUACCCUACACCAUGCAGAACUGCUGAUGGGGUCAGGCUGAGAACAAGCAUCUGUGCAUUCAUGUAAAAGCUAUCGGAAUGCAGUGUUCCCAACAAAUACAUUAAUAACUUUCAACAACCUUCACUUCUGGACAUGAUGUAAUUAAUUUUUGAAUCAGGGAAGCAAGAUGGUCUGUGGUCUGAUAUUUUCAUUUGAAAGCAAGUGGGAAGACAAAAGCAAACAGACUUUUUGGCUAUGAGAAAAUGAGUGACCUUCCAAGUAAGGAAUUCAAACUGGAGCUUUCAACUUUGGAGAGGAAUGAGGCUGGAGAACCUUUUUGUAGCAGAAAUGGAAGGUGGAGAAAUGGUUGGGGGUUACAGUGCCCUCCACUGCCCUCUGAGUAGCCACGCCUUUCCCCACUUCGCGGGGCUCCGAUGUCCCUGAACUACUAUUUAACAGGAAAACAUUAUUGCUAACAGGUUUUAUAUUUUUUUAAACAGAGGGCUGGCAUGCCAGCACAUGCUUGAAUGCUCUCACAGUUACAUAUAAACUUUAAAAAGAGGCCCCCUUUUCCCCGAGCCUGACUCAUACUCCAUGCAUCAUAUAACCAGGCUUUGGAAAAGCUCUGAAAAAUGCACAUGGCAAUUGGAUCUAUUUUGCCCGAUCGUGGGAGUGAUAAAAACAGGUAGUGAUCAUUCUAAAAUGCAAAACAAUGAACACACUCAAGUUGAUUUUGGAUUUGACCAUACACAUUUCUCAGAAGAGGGAGCUUUCCUGUGAGUUACCCAUGAUAGAAGAACUGGCAGGUAAGAAUUCUUGGCAGUGAGAAUGCACAAAAGGAAUGAAGCAAAGUUAACUGGGGUUACAGGUCAGGGAGCAUGCAAGAACACGGGUAGAGUUGUGAUCAAAGGAACAAGUGGCUUAUGACAGAACUUCUUUACUAAGGAC
rnacentral:lncRNA from 10 species